rnacentral:piRNA from 1 species
UCCCAAGAGAAGCACUUCAGUGGUGCAGU